AUACGGAGGGGGCAAGCGUUGUUCGGAUUUACUGGGCGUAAAGGGCGCGUAGGCGGGACGUCAAGUCAGGGGUGAAAGCCCCGGGCUCAACCCGGGAACUGCGCUUAUUACUGAUAGACUAGAGAGCGGGAGAGGGUAGCGGAAUUCCCAGUGUAGAGGUGAAAUUCGUAGAUAUCGGGAGGAACACCAGCGGCGAAGGCGGCCUUCUGGACGGUGACUGACGCUGAGACGCGAAAGCGUGGGGAGCAAACAGGAUUAGAAACCCCGGUAGUCC
rnacentral:rRNA from 1 species